AAAAAGGGCGGAGCCUGUCCACACACACACUCAAAUGUUAUAAACACACCUGUUAGUUGCAAAAAUGUCCACCUGUCGACAUGUACACAAAACAGAUAGUGUUCACACGCAUACUUAUGCCUUAAAACCAACUAGUGUGAAAUAUUUCAGUCAUUCAGGCUGUUGAGCUAACACCUGUGCUCAGGUGAGUGUUUAUGUUCUUCUAAGUUACAUGAUGAUAGCAACAAUAUGAUAGGCAGCAGCUGGCCACUAACCAGUAACCUGCAAUCAAUGUUCAAAAACCUAAUAUCAAUGCUGUCCUGUUGCCUUGAAAUGCACGUUCCACAGGUUGCUAUGACAACAAGAUAAACUUGAAGUUCUCAUAGCAACAAACUCAGGCACCUCACAUAACUGUGGCAACAGGACCCAAAUGACACAGCAGGUUACUACAAGUACGAAUCAAUCCUUAUCAUCCGUUUGUGUAUUUCAUCGGUGCAGACAGAUGGAUACAUAAUGACCGUUUCCACGGCGACAGCAAUAGUGAACAGUAGAUAGAAAGAAUGUCCCACCAAGAACCUUAAGAUGACGCUUGAAUGAGAGAAAUGUAUAGUUGAAACAACUUAAUGCGUAACUCGGAGGUCCAGGAGAGAACAGGAUCAUACUGUUCAGACAACCAACAUGAACAAAACUCACUCUCCACAUAAACUGUAUUAACAUGGUAAAUGUGUGCUUAAACUGUUUAGAACUGAAAGGAUGUCAGGUCCAUGUUGAAACUAGGGAUGUCCCAAAGAGAAUGUGAUCAGAAAUAGGACCUUAUCAUGCAGAUUCAAACUUGAUUGGAAUAUGAUAUACAGUAGCAAAAUAGUUUAUAGCAGUCCUGUUAUAUACUGGAUAUAUAUUUUAGUCACAUUAUUGUGAUCAGCGCUAUAUAUUUCAAGCUCAAUAUUACAGAUAAAAAACCUAAUAGAAGUCUCUCAUUAAUAGAUUAUAUCUUGCUGCCAUAAAGUGAUGUAAAAUAUGCCACCAGUUUGAGAAGGAAGCACACAAAAAUAUUUCUGUAUGGACUACUUUACAUUCUAUGAGAAUAAAAUUCCAAUAGCAUACUGUAUUACAUGUUAAGUCUGGCAUUUUGAGAGAGGGGAUGGAUAAAGCUGUGUUUAAUAGAAUUUGAUAUCUCAAAAUCAAACUGCUGCAACAAAAAACAGUGUCACAGUGCUUCCGGCUGACCCCUCCUCCUCAUCAGCUCCACCUGAUGCCUCCAGCUGCGCCUCCUCAUCCUCAUCAGCCGGCAGCCUCUUAAGGAGACCACGGACCUGUAACCGACGCUAGUUCGUUGUAUUCCUACGGACCUCGCCCUCCUGAGGAACUUACCCGGUUACGGUUCUUCUCUCGCUGUCUCUCUCUGACGAUCUCUGGCUCCUUCUCGGAUCACGCGGUUGCUGCUAGCAAAACCCUCCAACCACACCUUGGACUACCUGGAAAGAUCCUAGAUCUCAGCUCUACCCUCUCCUAUUAAAUCUCUUCUUUACUCAA